rnacentral:rRNA from 1 species
GUGUCAGCAGCCGCGGUAAAACGUAGGAUCCGAGCGUUAUCCGAAUUCACUGGGCGUAAAGCGCGUGCAGGCGGCUCGCUAAGUUGGAUGUGAAAUCUCCUGGCUCAACUGGGAGGGGACGUUCAAAACUAGCGAGCUCGAGGACGGUAGAGGGAGGUGGAAUUCCCGGUGUAGUGGUGAAAUGCGUAGAUAUCGGGAGGAACACCAGUGGCGAAAGCGGCCUCCUGGACCGUUCCUGACGCUCAGACGCGAAAGCUAGGGGAGCGAACGGGAUUAGAAACCCUGGUAGUCC